rnacentral:rRNA from 1 species
GACGAACCGUGCGAACGUUGUUCGGAUUCACUGGGCUUAAAGGGCGCGUAGGCGGGUUACCAAGUCAGGGGUGAAAUCUUUCGGCUCAACCGGAAAACGGCCCCUGAUACUGGUAGUCUUGAGGGAGGUAGGGGCAGGUGGAACUUCCGGUGGAGCGGUGAAAUGUGUUGACAUCGGAAGGAACGCCGGUGGCGAAAGCGACCUGCUGGAUCUCUUCUGACGCUGAGGCGCGAAAGCUAGGGGAGCGAACGGG